GAUGAACGCUGGCGGCGUGCCUAAUACAUGCAAGUCGAGCGAAUGGAUUAAGAGCUUGCUCUUAUGAAGUUAGCGGCGGACGGGUGAGUAACACGUGGGUAACCUGCCCAUAAGACUGGGAUAACUCCGGGAAACCGGGGCUAAUACCGGAUAACAUUUUGAACCGCAUGGUUCGAAAUUGAAAGGCGGCUUCGGCUGUCACUUAUGGAUGGACCCGCGUCGCAUUAGCUAGUUGGUGAGGUAACGGCUCACCAAGGCAACGAUGCGUAGCCGACCUGAGAGGGUGAUCGGCCACACUGGGACUGAGACACGGCGCAGACUCCUACGGGGGGCAGCAGUAGGGAAUCUUCCGAAAUGGACGAAAGUCUGACGGAGCAACGCCGCGUGAGUGAUGAAGGCUUUCGGGUCGUAAAACUCUGUUGUGAGGGAAGAACAAGUGCUAGUUGAAUAAGCUGGCACCUUGACGGUACCUAACCAGAAAGCCACGGCUAACUACGUGCCAGCCGCCGCGGUAA
rnacentral:rRNA from 1 species